CAUGAAAAGCGAGAAGCGAAGCUCCCGCUUUUUUCAAGGAAUUUUUUUUAAAAAAUUAAAAUAAAUAUGGCAUAGAUAAUACAUGUAAUUGUAAGCAAAUGUUCAAUACUUAGAUUAAAAAACUAAAGAGUAACAUAAAUUAAAGCACAAAAUGAGCAUCCUAUUCUUCUUCAAGAUUGUUAAAUUCUUGUAUUCCACUAUCAUUAUUGUAUUGCUCGCCAUCUUCUCCAACUUCAUCAACUAGGGAAAAAAUUUUAGGGCAGAAAUUUUCUGGAAAAAAUUCGCCAACAUUUCAACACUUUAUGGACGUUUAGAAAUAAAAAGAAAAAGAAAAAGAAGAAGAAGAUUGAAAAUAAAAACAUACCCUGUUGAAUCUUGAAUUCGUUGGUUUUUUUGAGGACGAAAGGGCUGAUUUAAAGCUCUAGGUUGCUGCUGAAGAAUGAUUAAGACAGAGACUCACUCUAUUUUGGGUCUUUUUGAUUGAAAAGACACGUUUGGUCAUUUUAUUCCAAGAAGCGAUCGCUUCUUCCGCUUUUCCCGCUUCUCGCUUUUUUGGUAGAAGCGAACGCUUUUAUGUACCUGAGUCGCUUUUGGUACAGGUAGCGACAGACCCUUCGCUUCGCUUCUCGCUUUAACUUUUAUGUACCUGAUUCGCUUUUGGUACAGGUAGCGACAGACCCUUCGCUUCUCGCUUUAAGCGAGGAAGCGGUCGCUUUUUUGAACACUGGUUAUACUUGAAGUGCUA
rnacentral:lncRNA from 1 species